rnacentral:rRNA from 1 species
AUUGAACGCUGGCGGCAUGCCUUACACAUGCAAGUCGAACGGCAGCGGGGGAGAAGCUUGCUUUUCCUGCCGGCGAGUGGCGAACGGGUGAGUAAUACAUCGGAACGUGCCCUGUAGUGGGGGAUAACUAGUCGAAAGAUUAGCCAAUACCGCAUACGACCUGAGGGGGAAAGUGGGGGACCGCAAGGCCUCAUGCUAUAGGAGCGGCCGAUGUCUGAGUAGCUAGUUGGUGGGGUAAAGGCCUACCAAGGCGACGAUCAGUAGCUGGUCUGAGAGGACGAUCAGCCACACUGGGACUGAGACACGGCCCAGACUCCUACGGGAGGCAGCAGUGGGGAAUUUUGGACAAUGGGCGAAAGCCUGAUCCAGCAAUGCCGCGUGUGUGAAGAAGGCCUUCGGGUUGUAAAGCACUUUUGUCCGGAAAGAAAUGGCUCUGGUUAAUACCUGGGGUCGAUGACGGUACCGGAAGAAUAAGGACCGGCUAACUACGUGCCAGCCGCCGCAGUAA